rnacentral:RNase_MRP_RNA from 1 species
CCACACGAGGCUUCACUGCAAUUUUUUUUUUUGACGACUGCUUCAAUCAGCUCGGGCUCACGGCCGCAAGCUCGCAUGGCAUGGCAAACCGCUUCAGCGCAUGAGGCUUCUUGAGUUGAACAUACAGUCAUGAAGUGCUACACGAGGUUUUCACGAAUGGCGAAAAACCACAGAAUUUCCUGC